CACAAGUAUGUGGAGCAGCAGUUCCUGCACUUUCCCCACUCUGACAACAGAGGCAGCACCACAAAUCACUCCCCAAAGAUUAGGGCAUAAAGCAGGAAUUUGGCAGGUAAGGGAUAAACCAUGAUGUUUUUCAGAUAGAAGAGACCUUAUAGAAUAUGAAUAUGAUAUUAAUUACCAAAAAUGUUAAAAAUCCAUUGUGCCAGAAUUUUACAAAAACAUGCUCAACUGUGCGGUUGAUAUCGUCGGUAAAGGGUAGAAAUGACCAUGAGGCAAGGCAGAUGUUAGCAUAGUAGUUAGUGUGGUAGGAAGAUGUUUGACUGGAAAAAGUGAACAAAUACAAUGUAAUUAUAGUAUAUUACUAAAACACAAUAUUAUCCUAUUACAUUAUACACUGCCUGACCAAAAAAGAAAAAGUCUCCGUUUGGAUUUUUUUGGACAUUGCCCACUGUACUGGCCUCUGGAGGCAGUGUUAUGAUCUGGGGUUGCUUCAGUUGGUCAGGUCUAGGCUCAGCAACGUUAUGCGGCAAUAAAAUUAAGUCAGCUGAGUACCUGAUUGUACUGAAUGACCAGGUUAUCCCAUCAAUGGAUUUUUUCUUCCCUGACGGCACGGGCAUAUUCCAGGACGACAAUGAUUCAUUGGGCUCAAAUUGUGAAAGAGUUGUUCUGGGAGCAUGAGGAAUCAUUUUCACUCAUGAAUUGGCCACCACAGAGUCCUGACCUUAACGCCAUUGAAAGUCUUUGGGAUGUGCUGGAGAAGACUUCACGGAGUGGUUCGACUCUCCCAUUGUCAAUACAAGAUAAUGCAAUUCUGGACGGAAAUAAAUGUUGUGACGUUGCAUAAGGUUGUCGAAACAAUGCCAUGACGAAUGCACACCGUAAUCAAAGCUAAAGGCGGUCCAACUAAAUAUUAGAGAGUACGACUUUUUUUUGGCCAGGCAGUGUAUGUCAGCAUAUGUUAGUAUGCACAUAUAUGUUAUGGGAAAACAUGUAAUGCAGUGUAUUGUUUCAUUCUUAGUGAUGGACACCAAAUUUUUCUAUGGCACAGGAAAGGGUAGCAAAGCUGUGGUCCCCCUUGAUCCAGAGGAGUCAGACAUAGAGGACAGUGAUGAGGACUUGGAUGAUCCUGACUAUGUGCCAAGGCACACAUGUGACACAGUUGAAGAGUUACCAAUCCCUGAGCUUAGUGAGCCUGAUACACACUCAGCCUGUGGCCCACAGCGAGGGCGAUGCAAACUCUACCCAAAGGGGGUGUCACGAUGGAAGUGUGCAGAGUGUCUAAGCACUGCUGUGUCUAAACAGCACACAGCGGUGCUUUGUCACGUAUCAUCUCAAAUGAAAGCUGAAAAUGAGGUGAAUAGGAGAUUCCAAAGCUGAUCAGUUGAAAAAAUAUGUUCAGGACUGAGGAUGAACUCAGAUACCUGAAAUGGGUGUUUUUUAAAGUUUAAAGUUUUUUUAAGUUUUGUUCAUGAGUUUAUACUUAAAAUAAAAUGGCGAUGUAUCAAAUGGUGCCUAUCUAUACAUCAGAAAUGCCAUAUGACGCAGUAUAUGUCAAUAUAUACAUAUUUGUGGACCUAGCCAUUGUAAUUGAUGGGACAUUUACAGGCCAAAAACAUGUUGAUGGACUGUAAAAAAAGCAAUAAACUGUUUUAAGGUUUUAAAGAGAGAUUAAAAUGAUUGUGUUUCAGGAAUGUUCAGAAAUAUAGCAAUUUGUGAAUAGCAUCUUUUACCAUAUACUGACAUCUCAACCGUACGGUAGAGGUCUAUAAUUUCU